GCGUCCAUUUACAUAAUGCUUUGUCUGCAUUUUGCAACUCUCUUUCGUUAAACCCGCAGAACCCCCACCUCCUGAGCGGUGUCGUUUUAGUCGCUGCCGCCUCGUCAGACAUUUAAGACAAUGGCGUGCAUCUUGGGGGACCGCAUUUACCCCCGCUCUGGGGAGCUCCUGCGGUUUUCCCUGCGCGAGCUACUCUCCCGCUGCUGCCUUUCGGCCCUUUCCCCGCUCGGUGCAGCCACGGCGCCCACGCUCUCCGGGGGCGGCCCCCAACAGGGCCCGCCAUCUUGGAGGGCCUUUCUUGCCGUGUGUGGAGCCGCGCGUUCCUCCCGAUGAAAUCACUUAGGCCCAGAGAGAUGCAGUGACUAAUUCAAGGUCACACAGUGUUGAGGAUGGAAUCCAGACCUGAUACAGUUAUUGACCUGCCUUAUCUUGCGGAUAUGUGAGUGAAUUCCAUACCACCCAUUUUACAGAUGAAGCCACUGAGAUACAGAGCAACUGACUAAACAGUCACCACCCCACUCCUGGAGCCUCACAUGACUCUUCUCCCAGAGCCGCCCAAUAUGUGACUGUGUGAGGCAUGAGGCGCAGCAGGCUGUGAUACAGACUAAUUGAUGGUGAUCUCAACUUCUGUGACAGCUUCAGUUACCAUCUAUACAUGGAUGAUGACCAAAUCUCUCUCCAGACCAGAAUAUCCAGCUGUUCACAUGGACAGCUCCACUGCGAUGUUUUGAAGACUCAGCAAAAUGCAGCCUUCUGCUCUUUCCCUCUUGCUCUUCCUCCAGUGUCCUGUCACAUGGUGAAACAUUGUCUUGUCACUGUAUAACAUGGUAAUUGAGAAUGUGACUCUGGAGCUAGCCUGAUGGGACCUGAAUUCUGACUCAGCCGCUUACUAUGUGACCUUGGGUCUUCAUUGUAGUGUAACUCACACUGUCGAAACACCACUGGUAACUCUGGUGUACUGUUUAAGAGGCCCUGUCCUAUCAUCCAAAUAAAACCUGUUGAUGUGUUCCAAGGAAUAAGCCAUGAUGGCGGCAGAGAAAAAGAAAAGCCACUUUAAAAAAAUAGGGGACUUCCCUGGUGGUGCAGUGGUUAAGAAUCCACCUGCCAAUGUAGGGCACAAGUGUUCGAGCCCUGGUUCGGGAAGAUCCCACAUGCUGCAGAGCGACUAAACCCGUGUGCCCCAACUACUGAGCCUGUGUUCUAGAGCCUGCGAGCCACAACUACUGAGCCUACAUGCCACAACUACUGAAGCCCGUGCACCUAGAGCCCGUGCUCCACCAACGAGAGAAGCCACCUCAGUGAGAAGCCUGUGCACCACAAUGAAGAAUAGUCCCCGCUCACCACAACUAGAGAAAGCCCGUGAGCAGCAAUGAAGAUCUAAC